rnacentral:rRNA from 1 species
UACGAAGGGGGCUAGCGUUGCUCGGAAUCACUGGGCGUAAAGCGCACGUAGGCGGAUUGUUAAGUCAGGGGUGAAAUCCUGGAGCUCAACUCCAGAACUGCCUUUGAUACUGGCGAUCUCGAGUCCGGGAGAGGUGAGUGGAACUGCGAGUGUAGAGGUGAAAUUCGUAGAUAUUCGCAAGAACACCAGUGGCGAAGGCGGCGACCUGGUCCGAUACUGACGCUGAGGCGCGAAAGCGUGGGGAGCAAACAGGG